rnacentral:rRNA from 1 species
GAUGAACGCUAGCGGCAGGCUUAAUACAUGCAAGUCGUGGGGCAGCAGGACUGUAGCAAUACAGUCGCUGGCGACCGGCAAACGGGUGCGGCACACGUACGCAACUUACCCUGAACUGGGGGAUAGCGCGGGGAAACCCGGAUUAAUACCCCGUAAUAUAAUGGAGUGGCAUCACUUUAUUAUUAAAGCCCCGGCGGUUCGGGAUGGGCGUGCGGCUGCUUAGGUAGUUGGUUGAGGUAACGGCUCACCAAGCCUACGAUCAGUAACUGGUGUGAGAGCACGACCAGUCACACGGGCACUGAGACACGGGCCCGAGUCCUACGGGAGGCAGCAGUAAGGAAUAUUGGGCAAGGGAGGCAACUCUGACCCAGCCAUGCCGCGUGGAGGAUGAAGGCGCGCUGGGUUGUAAACUUCUUUUAUAGGGGACGAAACCUGUGUAUUCUUACGCAGUUGACGGUACCCUAGGAAUAAGCACCGGCUAACUCCGUG